UUUCUACAAAAUAAUCGGCUGCUCUUGCAACCCAUGAGAGGAAUCGGCAAUAAACUUGCGAAGCAUGGAUACAUGAAACACAUUAUGUAUCCUGGAUAACUCUGGAGGCAAAACUAACUGAAACGCAAGAGAGCCAACUUGAUCUAAAAACCCAUAAGGACCAAUAAAUCUCGGACCAAGCUUUGCACGUUACUAAAACGUACCACCCCUUUCCAAUGAGACAAUUUCGAAAACACUCAAAAUACUCACUUGAAACUCAUGGUCCUUCCUGUGAACAUCUUUAAAACUCUACUAGCUACUAAGAGAUGCUUUGAGUCUAACUCUGACUCCUUUAACCUUUUCAUCUGAAUCCUGAAUUAUUUUAAAUCUUCUCGAAGACUCUAAGUCCUUCGUUGAACUACCACUAACGUUAACACGUAAGUGAGUUCAGUGAUACCUAUUCCAGAGUACGAGUACCCGUAGGUAUGCACACUCUUUCCUGAGCAAUGGAAAUAGCUAACCCAAAUAAAACGCAUAAAUUUGCUAUCACCAUCGGGCUCAAAUCUCCUAACGUCACGCAACAACCUCGAUAGCACGCUGCUCACAACUCGACAAUGAAGCCCACUUGCUAGGAAACUAAAGUUCACAUAUUCCCACAUGUUCAUAGGGGUCAAAAUUAAGACCCGCUAAUUGAACAGAUUUUUAAAGAUGCAGACACUGCAGAACUGCAACAAUCACUCCUACUACUGAGACACCUCGCAGAGUCUUUCGUGGAGCCAAAGCUCUCGCAAGUCCACAAGAUAACCUUGCUCUGCCUAAAUGACCAGUCCACCAACAUAUGAUAACCUCGAUUGCCGAAAUAACAUUAUGAAAAGAUCAAUACCACGACACUUAGAUCUCUCCACCAAAACUAUUACAUUACCAUUUUAUGCACCACAAACUAGCAACUUAUGGGAAUUUCCAUCUCUCUCCUGAUUCUGCUAUCUCCACUAUUAUUUACCACAAACCAGAAGAUAAUCUGAAGCAUGACUAACACGUGGAAACUGGAUAUUCCUCCUUGCUCGCCAUAAACAAAAAAAAAAACUAAUUAAUGCCCACGAAGAUUGGCACAGUCAAUUCAUGAUGCUAAACUUGACGUUGAAAUCCACAUAAAUAGAACACCUUCCUUAAGCAUUGACAAAAUUUACAUCUCCAGCCAUGCUACUUAUUCGGGUGCAAUCGCGACCCCAAGAGCAAUAAUUAAAAGUACAUGGCUCACUCUAGCCGUUCCAUAAAAAUGAUUCUAAAUACCAAAACCUUUGGACCCGACAAACACACUUCUUUUUCUACCUUUAACAACAAUUAAUCUGAUAGCAGAAGACGAUAUGAAAAUCAGAUAUGCUCAAGUCUCCUACACAUCCCAGGGCCAUGACUUCCCACCAAAAAGAUUCUUCGAAAACCGAGCUUGCAAUAACAUGCGACUAACAAAAGCAAAGACAAAUUUUUAUACAAGACCUCCCAAAUCAUACUUGGAUCAAUGAGUGGUCCCACCACAAUACGAUCCUGAGAAAAGACGCUGAUCAACCUAUCAAAAACUACUACUCUCAAUAUUAAAACUCUUAAUAAACCUUAACUCUAGACGCUUCUUGAGUCAACAGGGGAAAACCCUCUUCCAUAAUGCUACGUCAUGAAAUAUACCUACAACGACACAAACCAUCAAAAUCAACAUCACCAUGCAACUCUUAAACUACCACAUAGGAUUUACAGCAUCAAGACUCAUUGCUUAAAUGAACUCUAGCUCACUUGGGAUCACCACUGGAUUUAUUCCGAAUCCAUGACUACGACACAACUACCAAUUUAUCAUUUACCUCGAAACUUCGACAAAAUAACCAGAAUCUCUACCCUUCAAAUCGAAGCGUUGAAAUCGCAUUCCAUAAUUUCAAGCUCUAAGGAUGCUACCCAAAAACUAAAGUAGGAAUAAUUUAAUAUUCCACACACACCACAACCAAAACUUUAGUCUCCAUCUCACUGAAUUAGCAAUAAGGGAGAACGGAUCCUCCCAUUGUUGUGUCGUAGUUAGUCACCCAUUGCGAAUGAAAUGAUGUCAAAAACCAGCUUCGAUCAAAAAUUUAAGACUUACAUCAACCACCCGGAACGACACUGCUUAAAAAUUACUUUGGACACCCACGCACUCUUGCUCUAAGAUCUAGUGGGUUUUAUUCCACUGCCACCACUUCCACCAACUCCACACAACUGCUAUAGAAUACCUAUGACAACACGAAUAAAUUCACCAGGUGUUGUCGUAAAACUGAAAUGACCACAACCAUUUCGCUCUCACUCCACCAUUACUUUUCAAUUCAAUUUACAUUAUCAUCUUCCAAACACUCAACAAAUCUGGAAACCAAACUUCAACACCUGGAAUUCCGAAAGAAUCCAUACUGGCUCCACGAUUAAAA
rnacentral:lncRNA from 1 species